UUNUGAACUGGGUGACUAGAGUGUNUCAGAGGGAGGUAGAAUUCCACGUGUAGCAGUGAAAUGCGUAGAGAUGUGGAGGAAUACCGAUGGCGAAGGCAGCCUCCUGGGAUAACACUGACGUUCAUGCUNGAAAGCGUGGGUAGCAAACAGGAUUAGAUACCCUGGUAGUCCACGCCCUAAACGAUGUCAAUUAGCUGUUGGGCAACUUGAUUGCUUAGUAGCGUAGCUAACGCGUGAAAUUGACCGCCUGGGGAGUACGGUCGCAAGAUUAAAACUCAAAGGAAUUGACGGGGACCCGCACAAGCGGUGGAUGAUGUGGAUUAAUUCGAUGCAACGCGAAGAACCUUACCUGGUCUUGACAUGUACGGAAUCCUCCAGAGACGGAGGAGUGCCUUCGGGAGCCGUAACACAGGUGCUGCAUGGCUGUCGUCAGCUCGUGUCGUGAGAUGUUGGGUUAAGUCCCGCAACGAGCGCAACCCUUGUCAUUAGUUGCCAUCAUUUAGUUGGGCACUCUAAUGAGACUGCCGGUGACAAGCCGGAGGAAGGUGGGGAUGACGUCAAGUCCUCAUGGCCCUUAUGACCAGGGCUUCACACGUCAUACAAUGGUCGGUACAGAGGGUAGCCAAGCCGCGAGGUGGAGCCAAUCUCACAAAACCGAUCGUAGUCCGGAUUGCACUCUGCAACUCGAGUGCAUGAAGUCGGAAUCGCUAGUAAUCGCAGGUCAGCAUACUGCGGUGAAUACGUUCCCGGGUCUUGUACACACCGCCCGUCACACCAUGGGUGUGGGGGAUACCAGAAGUAGGUAGGGUAACCGCAAGGAGCCC
rnacentral:rRNA from 1 species